rnacentral:misc_RNA from 1 species
AAGUCGUAACAAGGUUUCCGUAGGUGAACCUGCGGAAGGAUCAUUAAUGAAUUUUGGAGUUCUACUGUGCCUGCCGUUCAUUCGGAUGUGUGCACGUAGUCUCUAUAAAUCCUUAUCAACACCUGUGCACCUUUAAAAAGGGGGGAGUCUGAUUAAGCAUUUUAUUUAUAUGAUGCUUAUGACGAAUAACCUCUUUUCUUAUACAAACUCUUUUAAUGUCUAUUAGAAUGUUCUCUGGCCGCAAGGCUAUAAAAUAUAAACAACUUUUAACAACGGAUCUCUUGGCUCUC